rnacentral:rRNA from 1 species
UAGGGAAUUUUCGGCAAUGGGGGGAACCCUGACCGAGCAAUGCCGCGUGAGUGAAGAAGGAUUUCGGUUCGUAAAGCUCUGUUAUAAGGGAAGAAUGGUUGUAAGAGGGAAUGCUUACAAAGUGACGGUACCUUAUCAGAAAGCCACGGCUAACUACGUGCCAGCAGCCGCGGUAAUACGUAGGUGGCAAGCGUUAUCCGGAAUGAUUGGGCGUAAAGGGUGCGUAGGCGGUCUUGUAAGUCUGUGGUAAAAGGCAAUCGCUCAACGAUUGUAAGCCAUGGAAACUGUGAGACUAGAGUGCAGUAGAGGUUAGUGGAAUUCCAUGUGUAGCGGUAAAAUGCGUAGAUAUAUGGAGGAACACCAGUGGCGAAGGCGGCUAACUGGGCUGUAACUGACGCUGAGGCACGAAAGCGUGGGGAGCAAAUA